rnacentral:rRNA from 1 species
GUGUGGUAACCUGCCUGUAAGACUGGGAUAACUCCGGGAAACCGGGGCUAAUACCGGAUGCUUGUUUGAACCGCAUGGUUCAAACAUAAAAGGUGGCUUCGGCUACCACUUACAGAUGGACCCGCGGCGCAUUAGCUAGUUGGUGAGGUAAUGGCUCACCAAGGCAACGAUGCGUAGCCGACCUGAGAGGGUGAUCGGCCACACUGGGACUGAGACACGGCCCACACUCCUACGGGAGGCAGCAGUAGGGAAUCUUCCGCAAUGGACGAAAGUCUGACGGAGCAACGCCGCGUGAGUGAUGAAGGUUUUCGGAUCGUAAAGCUCUGUUGUUAGGGAAGAACAAGUACCGUUCGAAUAGGGCGGUACCUUGACGGUACCUAACCAGAAAGCCACGGCUAACUACGUGCCAGCAGCCGCGGUAAUACGUAGGUGGCAAGCGUUGUCCGGAAUUAUUGGGCGUAAAGGGCUCGCAGGCGGUUUCUUAAGUCUGAUGUGAAAGCCCCCCGGCUCAACCGGGGAGGGUCAUUGGAAACUGGGGAACUUGAGUGCAGAAGAGGAGAGUGGAAUUCCACGUGUAGCGGUGAAAUGCGUAGAGAUGUGGAGGAACACCAGUGGCGAAGGCGACUCUCUGGUCUGUAACUGACGCUGAGGAGCGAAAGCGUGGGGAGCGAACAGGAUUAGAUACCCUGGUAGUCCACGCCGUAAACGAUGAGUGCUAAGUGUUAGGGGGUUUCCGCCCCUUAGUGCUGCAGCUAACGCAUUAAGCACUCCGCCUGGGGAGUACGGUCGCAAGACUGAAACUCAAAGGAAUUGACGGGGGCCCGCACAAGCGGUGGAGCAUGUGGUUUAAUUCGAAGCAACGCGAAGAACCUUACCAGGUCUUGACAUCCUCUGACAAUC